UUGAAAUCGUGAGGGUUCAAGUCCCUCUAUCCCC
rnacentral:tRNA from 1 species